rnacentral:rRNA from 1 species
UUAAAUUGAAGAGUUUGAUCAUGGCUCAGAUUGAACGCUGGCGGCAGGCCUAACACAUGCAAGUCGAACGGUAACAGGAAGCAGCUUGCUGCUUUGCUGACGAGUGGCGGACGGGUGAGUAAUGUCUGGGAAACUGCCUGAUGGAGGGGGAUAACUACUGGAAACGGUGGCUAAUACCGCAUAACGUCGCAAGACCAAAGAGGGGGACCUUCGGGCCU